UGACUGUGAGUUUUGCUCUGGUUCCUGUAGUCCUCUGUGUGCUCCAUCAUAAGCAGGCAACAGGGACGUGCUGGGCCCACGGCUCUUUGAACUCUACCCUUAACGCUGAAGGUAUCCUGACGUGGAACUGGAAUUUGACACACU